GAUUUCGACCAUACAGAGGGCCUGGCGUGCCAAGAGUUUCGGGUGUAUCAGCUCCUGCCGCACCUGCUCCCGUUGCGCGACAACCUAGUUGGACUGGACCUAUGUUUCCUCGAUUCCAAGGAAUGAGUUCAUACGAUCAAGAUAGAAGGCGGUAUUCGCAACCCCGUCUACGCAAUACGCGCCUCCGCCAUUCAACCCCACCGUCUCACUACCCUCGGAUGAAAUCUUCGAACGGCUGAGCAGAAUCCAGGGGCUCAGAACGGUGCCAGCCGGAGAAAUCAAUGUGAGGACGGAACUGUUUCCGUGGAGAGGUAUCUAUGUUAUGAGAACGGUGGAGAUAGAGCCGUCUAUACCCUCGCUGAUGGUUGUCCUGACGAGGGUUAGCGAGAGAUUCAGUCGGAUCCAAGGACCGCCGCUCCUGCUUAAUCAUGAUGUGGAGUUUGACGUGGCUACCGGUAGUUUGUAUCGGACACAACUUUGGACAUCAAGAACAUCACUAAGAGAUUACGUAGGCUAUAAUCCUCCAACGCCCAUACGCGAGCUACCUUAUGCGUAUCAAGGUUUCCUUACUGUUAUGGAACGAUUGCCUCAAUCCUCAACGGAUGCUCGUAUCACCUCACCGCCUAGAGGCGAAAACGUACCCUCAUAUAAUUCGGGAAUAAUGAUCGGCGGUCGCCCGCGGGCUCGGGGGGACUACAUUCCUCCCCGACCACUGUCGCCGCCGCCACCGCCUCCAAAACCGAAGAAGAUUGUACCAUCCUAUCCCGAUGAUACACCGGCCAAGGACGACGACAGCGAAGACACAUGCUCCAUAUGCUAUGUAAAUGUGCAGAAUACACGGUACAUACCAUGCAAGCACCAAUUCUGUUUUAGUUGCACAAAGGAGAUUAUAAAAACAAGCCCUUUCAGAUGUCCCACUUGUCGUUGCGUGAUCGAUGACUACGGGAAGAUUCUGUCUGAUUCUGAUUGAUAUUUAAUCGUGUGCACAAUCACUAAAGUUCCUGAGAUAUUGCUUUAGUCUUACAUCCGUUUUCAAAUGCAUAUCUGUACGAAGUAAUGACAACAACUUUGACAAAAGGACAUUUAAGUCAAGAGGGCAUGUUUCCAACCCACCAGCAUGAUACAAGGCACACAUUACACAGGAAAAUCAAUCAUGUAACGAAAAAAAGAUAAAUACCUCAUGAAAAGCAUUGCCUUGAACCUUUUUAACGCUCUUCCGGAACCCUAAGGUUACUACUAAAGAAUGAGGGAUCGAAAAAAUUUAGUUUUGCUCUCAAAGAGACAUCACUAAUAUGCUGUUCCGGAUACACAAUGGAACACUACACAAGGCUCGAAUUUCAGCAUUCUGAUUCAUGCAUGAUUCUUGAUAAAAAUUUCACGAAGAACAACGCGCAACAAAAAUUACUGAUAAUAACUCCUAACUAAGAUAAUCAAUGUUUCUUGACGCGUGAAUUCAAACCACCCGCUCAUGAGAACUCAAUGCUCCACGUAAUUCAUAUUGUGCGCUAAACAUCAUCAUGACAGUCUCUGCGAUAUGAAAAUCCGGCAACUCAAUCCUGAUGCUUUGGCUCAGCUAUAGCAAAUUGCUUUUAUAGUUUGAACAGCAUGGUGGGAAAUGAAAAUUGCUCGAUUGAUAAGCUAUAGCAAAUUGCUCAUAGUUUGAAAUAUAC
rnacentral:lncRNA from 1 species